UACGGAGGGUGCAAGCGCUAUCCGGAUUCACUGGGUUUAAAGGGUGCGUAGGUGGGCAGGUAAGUCAGUGGUGAAAUCUUUGGGCUUAACCCGAAAACUGCCAUUGAUACUAUUUGUCUUGAAUAUUGUGGAGGUCAGCGGAAUAUGUCAUGUAGCGGUGAAAUGCUUAGAUAUGACAUAGAACACCAAUUGCGAAGGCAGCUGGCUACACAUAUAUUGACACUGAUGCACGAAAGCGUGGGGAUCAAACAGG
rnacentral:rRNA from 1 species